ACCGCUGUAGCUCAGCGGAUAGAGCACCCCUUUGACUCAGGGGUAGGUCGCGGGUUCAAAUCCCGCCAGCGGUA
rnacentral:tRNA from 1 species